CCUACGGGAGGCAGCAGUGGGGAAUAUUGCACAAUGGGGGAAACCCUGAUGCAGCAACGCCGCGUGAAGGAAGACGGUUUUCGGAUUGUAAACCUCUUUUGUCAGGGAACAAAGGCGGGGACUAGUCCCCGGAUGAGGGUACCUGAAGAAAAAGGCUCGGCUAACUCCGUGCCAGCAGCCGCGGUAAUACGGAGGAUGCGAGCGUUAUCCGGAUUUUUUGGGUUUAAAGGGUGCGCAGGCGGCCUUUUAAGUCAGCGGUAAAAGCCCGGGGCUCAACCCCGGCGAGCCGUUGAAACUGGCGGGCUGGAGUUGGAGAGAGGUACGCGGAAUGCGCGGUGUAGCGGUGAAAUGCUUAGAUAUCGCGCAGAACCCCGAUUGCGAAGGCAGCGUACCGGCUCCACACUGACGCUGAGGCACGAAAGCGUGGGUAUCGAACAGGAUUAGAUACCCCUGUAGUC
rnacentral:rRNA from 1 species